rnacentral:rRNA from 1 species
UACGUAGGGCGCAAGCGUUAUCCGGAAUUAUUGGGCGUAAAGAGCUCGUAGGCGGUUUGUCGCGUCUGCCGUGAAAGUCCGGGGCUCAACUCCGGAUCUGCGGUGGGUACGGGCAGACUAGAGUGAUGUAGGGGAGACUGGAAUUCCUGGUGUAGCGGUGAAUGCGCAGAUAUCAGGAGGAACACCAGAGUGGCGAAGGCAGGUCUCUGGGCAAUUGACUGCGUGAGGAGCGAAAGCAUGGGGAGCGAACAGGAUUAGAACUACCGAGUCA